AUUGAACGCUGGCGGCAUGCCUUACACAUGCAAGUCGAACGGCAGCACGGGUGCUUGCACCUGGUGGCGAGUGGCGAACGGGUGAGUAAUACAUCUGAACAUGUCCUCUAGUGGGGGAUAGCCCGGCGAAAGCCGGAUUAAUACCGCAUACGAUCUACGGAUGAAAGCGGGGGACCUUCGGGCCUGGCGCUUUGGGGUUGGCCGAUGGCUGAUUAGCUAGUUGGUGAGGUAAAGGCCUAGCAAGGCGACGCACAGUAGGUGGUAGGAGAGGACGACCAGCCACACUGUGACUGAGACACGGCCCCGACUCCUACGGGAGGCAGCAGUGGGGAAUUUUGGACAAUGGGCGAAAGCCUGAUCCAGCAAUGCCGCGUGUGUGAAGAAGGCCUUCUGGUUGUAAAGCACUUUUGUCCGGAAAGAAAUACUUGGCCCUAAUACGGUCGGGGGAUGACGGUACCGGAAGAAUAAGCACCGGCUAACUACGUG
rnacentral:rRNA from 1 species